CAGCAGCCGCUGCGGAUAUUUUAAAAAAUACUUUUCGACGCAUUCGGACGGGGAAUUAGUCGUGAAAAGUGCGUGGCCGGAUGAGCAGCAGAGCUCUGAAAACUGCAAGCAAACCAUCUUCAAAAUUCAUUAAAUUUCUUGGAAUUUGUCUUAACACAAUUUAAACAUUGCCUCUAUCGUAUAUUUUUUCUAAAAUUCCGCGAAGUUUUUAUAUUUAAAUAAGCCAUCAUUUCACCGCGAAGUACAACCUUAAAAAAGAAAUUCAAAAUUUAUUCGAAAAAUAUUUAAAUAAAAAAAGCGGUCAAAAUACUUUAACACAAUCAUUAAAAAAAAAACAACUUUCCUAGAUUCGUAAUUUUCUAAAUCUUCGAAAUGGCAGUUCUAUUUUCAAAUACGCUGAUCUAUUAAGAAAGUAAGUUACUUUAAAUUCCGACAAAGAAUUGCAAAAUGGCUUCACACAUAAACAACAGCAGAUAUAAAAAUUAAGACUCGCUGAACGAAAAUACACAAGAAUAUUCGAAUUUCCUUCCAUAUUGCAUUUCAAACUUUUGCAAAAAAUAAUUCGCUUCAAAUGAAUUGCCGAAUGACAUGCCCAGAAAUAACAUUUCGCACAAAACAUGCUCCGAACUGUUUAAAUUAUGCACAAAUUAAAGCAAUUCCCCCGCUGAUUCGGACAAUUCCUCUGACAUUGUAUCAAUCUAUAAAUGGAGGGAAUAUUUUCCGACAUUUUCCGGCAAUUAGCAGCUAAAGCCUGAACUUAAUACACGUGCGUACACCUGAACUCUUGACACGAAGUGCUGUCCCCGCAUUUCCACAACUCUUGCUUGCUCUCGCCACUGCCAGCGAUCAAAUGAAAAGCCGGAAAAUGCACUUUCCAUGUUAGCUGCUAGUCAAACUGCUUAAUUGCGCAUUAAAUAUGCAGAAAAGUAGGCAAAACGAGCGGAAAAUAUGCGCAAGGGUAAGGGAUCGGCAUCGGAAACUGGGAAGUCCUGCGCUGACCAAAUUGCUGUGGCAAGUGUGGAAAUAUAUCGUAUCAACAGACAUUAUUGCGCUUGACAGUUUUUACUGUCAAGCCCCCCGGAAAAGCCGCCAUCCCCUCCGCCCAUCGAUGUGACACCUGACUUGCCGAACACACACUACUCAGCACAUCUCCAUAUCCUUUUUACGUAACAAUCCCGAAAACCGAAAAGGUUGAAAGUCGAAGUCAGCUAGCAAAAAGCCACAAUGCCGCAGGACGUUGCGCAUUCGGAAGGAUUUUUCCUCAUUUUUUUUUUUUACGUUUGUUUGCCUGAUUUAAUUGACGAGUACUCCCCAGGAUGUGACAAAUGCGGUGGUGGCGGAGAUCCAAGGAAUAACCUUAAUAGAAUUUCCAUUUGUGUCCAUUAGGCCUUGGUAAGGCAUUCCUUGGCGGAAAAAAUAAAUUAUGGCCAUGCGAAUUGAUGGUUAUUUAAGAUGAAUUAAAUUAAGGCUGACUUAAUUAAUAUAAAAGUCUGCAUCGAAAUGGGAUGAUGAAUACAUAGUUCCAAUAAAAACUUAAAUCUCUUUGACAGUAGUUCAGCACUUAACAAAUUUGAAACUAGCUUAGAAACAACAAGGAUAUUGAAUGAAUCUUAGAGCUGUCAAGCUAACAAUAACACAAUAUAACAAUAUAAAAACUAUAUUUAAUUAGCCUCGUAUUUGACACUGAUGUGCAUCAAAGCGAUUCCUUUAAUUUAGGGACGUUUUGAGCAAAGUCUUGAAUAAGAGGCUAAUUAAAGCUGUGCCUAAUUAAAGUGUAUAUUCAACACUAAUUUUAAAAUUAUAAUGCAUAUUUGGACUUCAUAACUUACCAUAUCCAGUAAAUACUAAUACUAAACCGAAAUCCCUGAAAACAAAACACAUACGCAAGGAAAUUUUUCGCAUAUUAUUUUUAACAACUCUGGUUAAUCAAAUCCAUAACAUAUUUACAUUUUGAUUAGUAGUCAUUUUUAACAUUCAUAAUAAUAGUUGAAUUUAAUUAUAUAAAACUAAUAAAAUCAUUUAAAAAUUGAAUUACCGUCAUAAAGCAAAUAUGCAAUUUAUAGCAUUAAUAGUCACCUAAAAAUCAUUCACAUAACUUAACUAAAAAAAUUACUUGAAUUACAAAUAAUUGACUUUAGACUUUUUGUGAUAAAAGUGCGUGUUUCGCAAUUUGGUUUGUACUAUUCACAAUCUAAUCAUAUUCUAACAUCUAACAAUAGGAUCACACUGAAUUCACCAAAUUUUUGUAGUGUCCUUAGUUUUCUAAACUUGUUAUUUAACAAAAUCUAUAACAAUAGUCCAGCUGUAUCUCAUGUCCCAACUUUGGUUUCCUUUUGUUUACCUGAUCACAAUCUAAUUAGCCAACAAUGAAUCUCGAACCGCAACUGUCGGAAUUAAACUUGAACCAAAAGUUGGGAGAGCAGGAAGGUAAACAGGAUUUUUCCGAGCAAAUCAAUUAGAGCAUUUCCCCAAAAAAGUUGCAGGUUAAAUUGUUGAAAUGCCAGAGCUUGCCGGGAUCCAUCAAGGAAUCCCUUCCAGCCUCUUGGCGCAACCAUUACAAAUGGCUGCGACUUGGCUGGCUGUCAGUUUGGGUUCAGUUCGUGUUGUGUGUUCUGUUGCGCUGUGACUUUUUAACCUAAUGAAUAAUAAAUUGGCCCAAUUGUCACGCAAAAACAAUGCCGCGGAAUAGAUGGAUAAGGGUUUGCACUGCGACCUGACAUCAGGAGGUCUGCGAAGUUUACUUCUCCAAAUUUUAGACACAUUUUCCAUGCCUGCCUUUCCAUUCCAAUCCAUUGCCGCCUGCCUUUUCUUUGCUGUUUAUUUCCGCUGAAGUGUCGCCUUCGAUAGAUUUUGGCAUUUGUUACGGAACUUGCAUCCACCUGGGAAAUCGGUGGCAGGCAUCUAGCAAUGAUUAGCACUUGCUCUACCUUUUCCUUUCGGCUUAAGUGGCGCCCACUUGCAUUCGUUUGGCCCUUUCGCUGCCUUCCCGGCCAAGUCGAAAAGUAAUUAGCAUAUUGAAAUGUUGCACAGGCCUCGCCUGCGGAACAAUCUCAUAAAUAAUUUAGCCAGCAUAUUUGAUGCGCUUCGGUUGCAAUGACUGCAUUUCCCCAGUUCUUUGCGAUUGCUGCAAUGUUACAUGUUGCCCGUGUGCUGGCUUCAAUAUUUAAUUGCGAAAAAUCUCCCAGCCGCGAAAGGGGCUAUUCCUCGGCUACUUCAUCCUUAGACCUCUUAAAAGCGUGUCAACAGCUUGUCAAUCACAAUUUCGCAAAUAAAAUGUAAGUGUCAGCUCAUGGAAAUUUAGUUUGCGAAUGUGUUGAUUGUGUUUUAGUUGUGGCUGUUUAGAAAUAAUUGGGGAGCGGUGGGGCUAAAAACAAACUGAUGUGGGGUAUUCUCUAAGGCAUUGCGUGUUCCAAGUACAAUUGCCAUACAAAAGGUUCACGAAAUCAAAAUAGUUUCAUCAUACCUACACAAUAAUAAAAUUCCAAAAGUAUCUUAAGCUGAAGUGAAAGAAAUAAUUUUACAUAAAUCUUGAUAAAUUCAAAAGUUAGCAUCCAUCAUAAAAAAACGCAUGCAAUUCACACCAAUUAGAAUACUAAAAUUUCAUUAGUUUCAAAUUUAAAAAUUUGAUAUGCAUCAGUAUAUAGGAAAGAAUAGCUAUUCUAUCCAACUGAUAUAUGUAUAUAUGCGAGAGUCACUAAAGUUAUUACAUCAUAAACCAACGAAUAUAGUUACAUUCCUAAAAAAGCAAAUUUGAAAUAAAAUUGAAAUACAAAAAAACAUUUAACUUCGGAUGCUUUUCAAUUUAUAGAAUUAUUUUACCCAUACCAAUCGUUUAUAUUUAUUCUAUCUAUUUCCAACUGACUAACUAAUUUUAUGCGGAGAAUAGUUAAACCUUUUAAGAACUUCCAAACUGAAACAUACAAUAUCGGUCAAAUGCCAUUAAAAGAACUAAAUGAAAACCAUUUAAGCAAUUAAAAACUGCUUAAAUUAGCCAAGAAUAAAUUGAAACAAUCUGUAUCUCCAUAAGCGAAACGAAAUAAACUAAAAAGUAAAAUUCAAAAUUUGACAUAAUUUACGCCUGCGCAACAAGGAAUAGUGUAGGUCCUCGGCAAUAAAAAACCAAUGCCAGGACUCUCAUUGGUCGCCAUCGAAAAGGCAGCCGAGCGAAAGCCGAGCUGCGGUCGUUUGCAUAACACGCAUACGCCGCAUAGGCCCAAAGGAUAAAAGCCGCCGACAACGAGGGAUGUUGCUUCCUUGUUGGCUUCCGCUCGGUUCGCGAAGGCGCUGGCUGCGUUCGUGUUGCCUGGCAGCUAGUGCCAGGAUCACAAGGAUACAACGUCAGCGGCUGGACAAGCGUAUUGCAGUUCCGGUGCGGCUCUCACACCGAGCAGACGUGUUGGCCUGCCUAGAAUAAGAAUAACAUUCAAAUGGUCAGUGCAUUGUGAUGCCCAAAAUUGUGUUAAGCCAUUGGCUAAGUUUGGCUGUUUUAUAUAAGAGUUCCUUCACGGACACUUAUAUAAUUUUGAUUGUUGCUCAGAAAGCCCUCAUUGUUUACCAGUUGGCUUUCGAGCAAUAAUUGAAACCAGAUAAGUGAUCCCCUCAACGCUGACGAUUUCAAAGCACUUCGUUUUGGUAAGUUAAGAUUUAUUUCAUUAAUUAUGUUUAAAAAAUAUAUAGAGAUUUCAAAUUUAAUUACUUUAAAUAAAAAGCAUUGCUAAUUAUACAUACGAUUUUAUAGAUAAAUUGAAAUACUUAUUAUUAAUAUUUAUAUUUAAGUUCCAGCGAUAUAAUUUUUUGAAUUAAAUAAAUGUAUACCUUUUUUCUGAAUCUUUGUUAAGCAAGUUGAAUCUUUGUAACAAAGACUUUUUUGUAGUGAAACUAGAUAAUUUGGUUAGCGAAAAU
ensembl:ncRNA lncRNA:CR45388 long non-coding RNA:CR45388